UUCAGUGUCUAAAGGCGCGACGCAACAUCAGAACUCUAUUCGUUUAGGCGUAGUUGAGAACUGAAAAUCAAACAUAUUGAUUACUAAAAGGCGAAUCUGAGGCAUUGAA
rnacentral:misc_RNA from 1 species